rnacentral:lncRNA from 1 species
GUUAUUUUAACAAACGCGCUUCUGUUUUACGAAGCAUCUCCAUACUUUCUCAACUGAGGUGCCUGCUAGAUGGUUUCAUUACAGCUUACAUCGUGUGUAGUAUUUUUCUAGUACAGUUCAGUCCUGUUGUGGGCUAAUGUGAAAUAUCUUCACAUCAACCAGAAGCUACACUUGAUGUAGCACUGCUAGAUGUUUGAUGGCCCAGUUAGUAAGUUAACAGCAUUUUGAAGCUGUUAGGUUUGUCACACAUCUUAAGACCACCCGUGCCCACGGUAUAACGCGUGAGCAUUCAGUUGAAUACCUAAUGGUUGAAGGUGUGUGCAAUGUAGAUGUCUACAGGCAUGUAUUUUACUUCCUGUGAGAAUAUGGAUUUCUGCUGUACCUUCAUACGGAUAAGCUACGUUUAGAAAUGAAAGCUUCCUUUCAGUCCACGGAAGGUCAGAUGUGCUCUAUGUAGGAAACAAACAUGUGAUGUCAUUUUCCUUCAGGAAUUAAGACAUUAACAGUGACAUUGAAGGGGAAGGAUUCUAGUGCAUCCGAGGAGCAACUCUGGAAAACUGCCCAGAGAAUAGCUUCUCAUCAGGGCCGCUUUUCAUUACCGAUUACGAUUCCAAUCUCCUGUUCUCAGCUUUCAACCCUCAAAAAUGUAUCAAUUUCUAAUAUGGGAUUAUCAGUUUGAUUUCCAUUUUUAAUGGCCCUCGUUAAACGAAUUAGAGAGCUUGGAGAAGAAAAAGAGCUUGGAGGUAGGCACCCGGGGUAUUUCCGAUGGUUAACUUUCCCGAGUGUGUGAGCAGCUAACAACAGGUAAAAAGUGUCAGGUGGUUUGCAGAAAGCAGUUACUCCUUGAGAGCUGUGUGUGUCACGGUGAAGUCUCAGCUGUGCACAAAGGGAGCUCGCUUCUCUGGCUGUCCAUUUAGCAUAGUGUCUCUCCAUUUCAUACUGGAUGUGAAAUUGACGCAUCGGCUGUGUUUAAAGAUGCGUUCCUUGUCACUGCUCCUUGUGUGUUUACAAAGAAUGGCAAGACCAUUUACUGUGAUGUCACCACUUCCGCUUUUGUAAAAAUAAAUGCUGUAAUUACAAAACCCUGUGUCUUCUAAUGAGUAAGGCAAGCAACCAAAGGCUUUUCUAAUACAUACCGCAAGAGGGUCCAACCUUUUGGCCUGCCUGGGCCACCCUGAAUGAAGGAAGAGGAAUUGUCUUGGGCCACAUACAAAAUAUAUAAUGAAGCUGAUGGAUAGAGCUAACACGGAUAAUUUUCGCUUGUAUACUUUUUACUAAACCCUUUUUUCAGCAAUCUUGAAACCUAGUCACCAACUCCUUUAGUAAGGGGAAAGCAAGACUGCACAGUCUUGGCUUUUCACAGGGCUGUGUUUAGCCCACGGAUCACAAAGCACACAACCCCUUGACAUAAUGAGAGUCAGCGCCGCGCAAUGCCCUCCCUGUGUCCUUGCACCAGAGCCGUCUGGGUAGCUUUGAUCCGACGUGCGGAAGCCGCAGGGCUCCACUCCCACAGGCCACCACUGGGGCCCCUCUGACAGGCCCAGUGGCAGGGCGUGUGCAGUCCCUCUGUGACAUGUUCUGAGGUCAUAAUGGCAUAGCCCUGCAUCACAGCGGUGACCGCCCCCUUUAAGCUCAACGACCCCACGUGUCCUCUCCACAUCUCCCAGAGAGGCCGGAGAGACUCCAGGUGCUUGCCGAGGAGCUGAUCUCGCCGCUGCUGUGCUCUGGAGGAGCUGCUGUGCCGUGAGAAGGAGUAGGCAGAGAGAAGCAGAACUAGGGGCAGGGGUGAAGGGCCGAGGAGGAGGGUUGUUUUGCUGGAAGGCUGCCCACCUGCUACAGUUGUUGACCUGCAGCAAGGGGGGAAGCAAGAUGGCAAAAUCCCUCUUCUCGGGACCUCGCUCACCUCCAACUGUUGAGAAGCUCAGAAAUUCUGGUAAGGCCCUCAGGCCCAAUUUCACACGUGCUGUCGGGCCCAGUGACAUGUCUGAAAACAGGUGUGGAAGCCCUGAAGGAGGAAGGCGGGCAUGGCUGAGCAGGGCAGGUUGCUGCAAGAAGGCAGCUGCCUUAGCACCCAAGGGGCCGAAGGAGCGCUUGGGCAGGCGUGACUCCUGGGUUCUGUUCCCGACCUGGCCCCUGCCUUCCCAGGGAUCUCCAAGCAGGAGCCGCCAGUGGAACUGAACUGCUUGUCUCAGAAAUGCAUCACUCCUUUGACAGGAAUUCAGGGUGCUGGACUGUUUUGAGGUGGCCUCCUGGGAGCAUGACAUGUCUCUUCUUUUGUUUUCCAGAGCUCGCUAAGUUUUGGUCCAGUGCAUCCUAUUAUCUCAGUCAACAGCUGGCUUUCUACCAGGUGGGACUUGCCUCCCUCUCCUUUCCUCCCUCUCACGGUUGAUUUAGCCGCGAGAGCCCAUUUGCCACGGAACGCAGAUAUUCUUCCCCUCUGUGGAAGCAGGAAUCAUGCCCCAGAAGGACUCUGCAAUGCAAAAUGGGUCACAGGCUAGCUCCUCUGUCAGUUCUGACAUGCCAGGAGGUCCAGGCCUAAUGAUGGAAGAAGGGCUGGACAUUUUCUGGGCCUGCCUGAGUCCUCUGCUGGCAGAGUUGAAUGACUAAAGUGGAUUGCCUAGGGGUGACUGCCAGCUUGGGAACCCCGUUUGUCUCUUUAUGAGCCAAAAGACUGCACUCUCUGGUUCUUCACAGGCAGGAGGGGUGAGAGGGAAAUAGUCUUCUGACAUCCCCUGCAAAACUUCUUCUGAUCCACCCUUUCUUCUCUUUCAGGCUGUGCACAUUCCUGGACUGGGGACUUUCAUGGUUGUCAGAGAGCGCGUAGUCAGCCAGAAGGGUCUGGUUACUGUUGAGAGACCCCUGUUUCACCUGGCAAAGGCUCUUGCGCAGGACCAUGACCUCCAGUAUGACUCCAUAGAUGUUGCAGGUAGGAGAGUGAAGUCUGACAGAGGUGCUUCCCUGGCACCAGAGUGGGGAAAGGGUGCCAGACUGCCAUUAUAGAUGGUAAUACAGUGUAACAGCACACUCUCUUUCACCUGCUUCAACAAUGGGUUUCAUUCCGGUCUCAUUGGCUCCGUGUCUCAGCGUCUCCUCAGAGACAUACCAAUGGUGCCACUUCAAAAUCUCAAGAGUAGCGUAUUGCCUGUGGGGCUGGAAGCUGCUGACUUUUGAUUGUAGCCCACUCAGUGGCUCUCCAAGUGCUCACGUUCUCUCCUCUUCUUUCGCCAGGACAUGACCAGUAUCAGCAACUUCCGUAUGCUCAGAUAGCCUCAGAAAAUGGCAUCUCUGCAGACGCGGCGCAGCUUUGCGUGGAAAGGACCGUGUGCCUUUUCAGCGCCUGCAUAGAGAAGAGGCGGAACGUUGCUUUCAUUUGGAGAGACGUUGGCAUGCUGCUGAUUGAAGGAAAACGGGUCCAAAUGAAAUUCUAUGAGGACUUCCUGGAGAAGCUCAACGGGACUGCUGACAUGUUGCAGGCUCUUCUUGGGAUGCCAGAAAUGAGCAAAUCGGUCAUCUCACGCAAUGACUGCGUAGCUUCCCAAACAACUUCCGGACGUGUUACUGUCUUUCCAAUGUACGAGCACAAGUGCAUAAUUAAAAUGACUGAAACACCAAAGGUGGACCUGAAGUACCACGUGAAGACCAGACACGAGCAAGGCUGGGCAAGACCUGGUGACAGUGGCACGAAAGGUAAGGGCACCUGUGAGUUGC